AAAACAAAAUAUCAUUCAUCCUAAACUUAUUCUCCCUCCCAACGCCGUUUUACACUCUUCUCCCCUUAUCUUCUUCUUUGAUGGUACCCGAACCAGAGACCAAAAUCCUCCAUGGCCUAAACCAAAACACCGGACCGACCACCGUAUCGUGGUGGCCACGCUCCUUUUUUAUCUAACCCUAAACCUGAGACCUAGACCUUUCGAGAAUCAAACGAAACCAUGCUCAAACUAAAGCCUCAAAACCAUGAAAAAAUAGUGCCUCAAAUCAAAAUUCGAAAUAGACCCUAACCUUAUAUAUAAGAAUCGAGGUCUUACCUUCAAUGGAUGCGGAAAAAUCCCCUUAGCUAUGGCGAAGCAAAACGACGGUCUCCUCCGAGGAAAAGGGUAAGUUUUGUUUAGGUUUUGAUUUAUCUUUUCGGGUUUUUUUUUCUGCUUUCGAAAAAGCUCUCGGUUUACUCUCCUUGUUGUUGUGUUUUUGGUUUGAAUGUUCUUAUUGAUCGUUGAAAAUAAGCUCCGAACAGUCACGAUGAACCACCAAGUUUAUUGCUAUUGUCACGUCCUUGGAGCCUUAAACUCGAACGUGCUGGCAUUAUACGGGUGUGACAGUAUUAUCAUGACAAGUGCCCUCAAAUAUUGAACCAGCGGCGUGCCUGAUGCUCUAUCUGCUUGUCUACUAUUUUUUCUGAUUCUUACUACCAUAACUUUAAAAAUUGUCUCCCCCCCCCUUUUCCUACUUUGGUAACUGUACUUUGAACAAAGAUCUAUUAUCAUACAUGUAAUUUCAUAAUUUAAUCUCCAAAUAUUAUAUUAAUAAAAUAUUCUCCAA